rnacentral:rRNA from 1 species
UGCGCGUGCUAUCAUGCAGUCUAGCGGACAGAAGGGAGCUUGCUCCCGGAUGUUAGCGGCGGACGGGUGAGUAACACGUGGGUAACCUGCCUGUAAGACUGGGAUAACUCCGGGAAACCGGAGCUAAUACCGGAUAGUUCCUUGAACCGCAUGGUUCAAGGAUGAAAGACGGUUUCGGCUGUCACUUACAGAUGGACCCGCGGCGCAUUAGCUAGUUGGUGAGGUAACGGCUCACCAAGGCGACGAUGCGUAGCCGACCUGAGAGGGUGAUCGGCCACACUGGGACUGAGACACGGCCCAGACUCCUACGGGAGGCAGCAGUAGGGAAUCUUCCGCAAUGGACGAAAGUCUGACGGAGCAACGCCGCGUGAGUGAUGAAGGUUUUCGGAUCGUAAAGCUCUGUUGUUAGGGAAGAACAAGUGCAAGAGUAACUGCUUGCACCUUGACGGUACCUAACCAGAAAGCCACGGCUAACUACGUGCCAGCAGCCGCGGUAAUACGUAGGUGG